CAGCCGCCGCGGUAAUACGAAGGGUGCAAGCGUUACUCGGAAUUACUGGGCGUAAAGCGUGCGUAGGUGGUGGUUUAAGUCCGUUGUGAAAGCCCUGGGCUCAACCUGGGAAUUGCAGUGGAUACUGGGUCACUAGAGUGUUGUAGAGGAUAGUGGAAUUUCCGGAGUAGCAGUGAAAUGCGUAGAGAUCGGAAGGAACAUCUGUGGCGAAGGCGACUAUCUGGGCCAACACUGACACUGAGGCACGAAAGCGUGGGGAGCAAACAGGAUUAGAUACCCCAGUAGUCCCUGUCUCUUAUAC
rnacentral:rRNA from 1 species